rnacentral:rRNA from 1 species
UACAGAGGGUGCAAGCGUUAAUCGGAAUUACUGGGCGUAAAGCGUGCGUAGGUGGUUUGUUAAGUCAGGCGUGAAAUCAUGGGGCUCAACCUCAGAAUUGCGCUUGAUACUGACAGACUCGAGUGUGGUAGAGGAUAGUGGAUUUCCCGGUGUAGCGGUGAAAUGCGUAGAUAUCGGGAGGAACAUCAGUGGCGAAGGCGGCUAUCUGGACCAACACUGACCCUGAGGUACGAAAGCGUGGGUAGCAAACAGG